rnacentral:rRNA from 1 species
UACAGAGACUGCAAGCGUUAUUCGGAUUCACUGGGCGUAAAGGGUGCGCAGGCGGCCAAGUGUGUGAGGCGUGAAAGCCCGGGGCUUAACCCCGGAAUUGCACCUCAAACUACAUGGCUAGAGCAUUGGAGAGGGUAGCAGAAUUCACGGUGUAGCAGUGAAAUGCGUAGAUAUCGUGAGGAAUACCAGAGGCGAAGGCGGCUACCUGGACAAUUGCUGACGCUCAUGCACGAAAGCGUGGGGAGCAAACAGG